GGCGAACGGGUGCGUAACACGUGAGAAACCUGCCCCCCAGACCGGGAUAGCCCAGGGAAACUUGGGUUAAUACCGGAUACUCUCCUCGGACCGCAUGGUCCGUUGAGGAAACAGUCCGCUGCUGGGGGAUGGUCUCGCGGCCUAUCAGGUAGUUGGUGAGGUAACGGCUCACCAAGCCGAAGACGGGUAGCUGGUCUGAGAGGACGAUCAGCCACACUGGAACUGAGACACGGUCCAGACUCCUACGGGAGGCAGCAGCAGGGAAUAUUGCACAAUGGGCGAAAGCCUGAUGCAGCGACACCGCGUGCGGGAUGAAGGCCUUCGGGUUGUAAACCGCUUUCAGGAGGGAAGAAACUGACGGUACCUCCAGAAGAAGCUCCGGCCAACUACGUGCCAGCAGCCGCGGUAAUACGUAGGGAGCAAACGUUGUCCGGAUUUAUUGGGCGUAAAGGGCUCGUAGGCGGUUCAACAAGUCGGUCGUGAAAGCCCGGGGCUCAACCCCGGGAGGCCGGUCGAAACUGUUGUGACUAGAGUUCGGUAGAGGUGAGUGGAAUU
rnacentral:rRNA from 1 species